rnacentral:misc_RNA from 1 species
GAAAUGCGAUACGUGAUGUGAAUUGCAUACUCGUGAAUCAUCGAAUCUUUGAACGCAAAUGGCGCUCGGCCGCUUCGGUGUGUCGAGCAUGUCUGUUUGAGGGUCAGUUUCACCUGCUUUCGGAUUUUUUUUAUUAUUAAGAAAAUCUGAAGACGAUGGGAUCUCACCAGUUUCCACCAGAGACAUAGUGAUUUCCUGAAACGCAUUUUUUUUACAUUGCUAAAAAGAAAGACAAGUUCCGAGGUCCCGACCUUUUCUACAAAUCGACGGGACCGAUCACAGCAAUGUGACCGGGCAAACCUUUCCUUUUAAUCACAAACACAAAAAAAUGACCUCAAAUCAGGCAAGAGCACCCGCUGAACUUAA